AACGCAACUAGCACUCUUCUCUCGAAGAGUAUGCCUGUUUGAGGGUCGUUUUACAACCUCAACAAAUUCCCAAGUUUCUGACUUGAAAUUUUGUUGGAAUCGAGAGUUUUACCUGGCCUUUUAUUGGCUGCGUCUCUUAAAGAAUAUUGAAUUCUUGAAACUGGCAAAUUUUAUUUUAAAAACGGAGGAGAGAGAAAAAAAACCCCGAGACGGAUUACUUGAAAAACACAACCUCAAAUCAGGCAAGAUUACCGGCUGAACUUA
rnacentral:misc_RNA from 1 species